rnacentral:rRNA from 1 species
AUACGGAAGGUCCGGGCGUUAUCCGGAUUUAUUGGGUUUAAAGGGAGCGCAGGCGGAGAUGCAAGCGUGACGUCAAAUUUCGGGGCUCAACCCCGUCUCGCGUCGCGAACUGCGUCCCUUGGUUGCGGGAAGGGGAGGCGGAACUCGUGGUGUAGCGGUGAAAUGCAUAGAUAUCACGAAGAACUCCGAUCGCGAAGGCAGCCAUUCGGCCGGUCAACGACGCUCAUGCUCGAAGGUGCGGGUAUCAAACAGGAUUAGAUUCCCUGGUAGUCCGCACAGUAAACGAUGGACACCCGCGGUUUGGCCUGUAUGGCUGAGCCGCCAAGCGAAAGCGUUAAGUGUCCCUCCUGGGGAGUACGCCGGCAACGGUGAAACUCAAAUGAAUUGACGGGG